rnacentral:rRNA from 1 species
UACGUAGGGGGCUAGCGUUGUCCGGAAUCAUUGGGCGUAAAGAGCGUGUAGGCGGCCCGGUAAGUCCGCUGUGAAAGUCAAGGGCUCAACCCUUGAAUGCCGGCGGAUACUGUCGGGCUAGAGUCCGGAAGAGGCGAGUGGAAUUCCCGGUGUAGCGGUGAAAUGCGCAGAUAUCGGGAGGAACACCUAUGGCGAAGGCAGCUCGCUGGGACGGUACUGACGCUGAGACGCGAAAGCGUGGGGAGCAAACAGG